AGUGAACGCUGGCGGUAGGCCUAACACAUGCAAGUCGAACGGCAGCACAGUAAGAGCUUGCUCUUACGGGUGGCGAGUGGCGGACGGGUGAGGAAUAAAUCGGAAUCUACUUUUUCGUGGGGGAUAACGUAGGGAAACUUACGCUAAUACCGCAUACGACCUACGGGUGAAAGCAGGGGAUCUUCGGACCUUGCGCGAUUGAAUGAGCCGAUGUCGGAUUAGCUAGUUGGCGGGGUAAAGGCCCACCAAGGCGACGAUCCGUAGCUGGUCUGAGAGGAUGAUCAGCCACACUGGAACUGAGACACGGUCCAGACUCCUACGGGAGGCAGCAGUGGGGAAUAUUGGACAAUGGGCGCAAGCCUGAUCCAGCCAUACCGCGUGGGUGAAGAAGGCCUUCGGGUUGUAAAGCCCUUUUGUUGGGAAAGAAAAGCAGUAGGUUAAUACCCCGCUGUUCUGACGGUACCCAAAGAAUAAGCACCGGCUAACUUCGUG
rnacentral:rRNA from 1 species